GAGCCUGGAGCACAGGGCUUGCUCCCCUCAGCAUUGCAGCACCAGGGCUGGGGGAUCUUGAAGCAGGAAUCAGAAGGAGAAGCGGGUGGCCUGAAGAUCACACGCAGACGAACAGACAGACAGUGCAGUCACCCAUAAAGUAGAAAGCACUACUAACAGCACUGGAGGGUGUAGUGUUUCCUACUUUAUGGAUGAGUGUACUGUGGGCUUCGGAGACCACGCCACGCGGCCGCCACCCGCCACCGUCUUCCUCUACUUCAGGACCCUGAGACAGGUGAGCACCUCAUUAUCCUCCCCCACCCUGCCCAGACUUCUGGAAGGCCUCCACUUCGCCCCCACAAGUGCUGCCCUUCCUGGUCCUGGACAACUGGAAACAUAAUACAUCAGGUCCUCUGCUAUGCUGAAGUCCUGGAGGGUGUGGGGAAGGCUGGACAUGUGGGCCCUGGUGCAGCAGCCGCAAGAUGGAGGGAAAUGUGUGGGGUGCCAGGGGCCCUGAUGCUAAUAAAGUAUGGACUCUGCUUUU